rnacentral:rRNA from 1 species
AUUGAACGCUGGCGGCAGGCCUAACACAUGCAAGUCGAACGAGUGGCGGACGGGUGAGUAAUGUCUGGGAAACUGCCUGAUGGAGGGGGAUCACUACUGGAAACGGUAGCUCAUACCGCAUACCAUCAGAUGUGCCCAGAGUGGCUUAGCUUGUUGGGGGGGUAACGGCUCCCCAAGGCGACGCUCCCUAGCUGGUCUGAGAGGAUGACCAGCAACACUGUGACGGAGACCCGGUCCAGCAUCCUACGGGAGGCAGCAGUGGGGUAUAUUUCACAAUGGACGCAAGCCUGAUGCAGCCAUGCCGCGUGUAUGAAGAAGGCCUUCGGGUUGUAAAGUACUUUCAGCGGGGAGGCGUUACCCGCAGAAGAAGCACCGGCUAACUCCGUGCCAGCAGCCGCGGUAAUUC